rnacentral:rRNA from 1 species
GCGUCUGAUUAGCUUGUUGGCGGGGUAACGGCCCACCAAGGCAACGAUCAGUAGGGGUUCUGAGAGGAAGGUCCCCCACAUUGGAACUGAGACACGGUCCAAACUCCUACGGGAGGCAGCAGUGAGGAAUAUUGGUCAAUGGACGAGAGUCCGAACCAGCCAAGUAGCGUGCAGGAAGACGGCCCUAUGGGUUGUAAACUGCUUUUAUAAGGGAAUAAAGUUAGUCUCGUGAGACUUUUUGCAUGUACCUUAUGAAUAAGGACCGGCUAAUUCCGUGCCAGCAGCCGCGGUAAUACGGAAGGUCCGGGCGUUAUCCGGAUUUAUUGGGUUUAAAGGGAGCGUAGGCCGGAGAUUAAGCGUGUUGUGAAAUGUAGACGCUCAACGUCUGCACUGCAGCGCGAACUGGUUUCCUUGAGUACGCACAAAGUGGGCGGAAUUCGUGGUGUAGCGGUGAAAUGCUUAGAUAUCACGAAGAACUCCGAUUGCGAAGGCAGCUCACUGGAGCGCAACUGACGCUGAAGCUCGAAAGUGCGGGUAUCGAACAGGAUUAGAUACCCUGGUAGUCCGCACGGUAAAC